rnacentral:rRNA from 1 species
UAGGGAAUCUUCGGCAAUGGACGAAAGUCUGACCGAGCAACGCCGCGUGAGUGAAGAAGGUUUUCGGAUCGUAAAACUCUGUUGGUAGAGAAGAACGUUGGUGAGAGUGGAAAGCUCAUCAAGUGACGGUAACUACCCAGAAAGGGACGGCUAACUACGUGCCAGCAGCCGCGGUAAUACGUAGGUCCCGAGCGUUGUCCGGAUUUAUUGGGCGUAAAGCGAGCGCAGGUGGUUUAUUAAGUCUGGUGGAAAAGGCAGUGGCUCAACCAUUGUAUGCAUUGGAAACUUGUAGACUUGAGUGCAGGAGAGGAGAGUGGAAUUCCAUGUGUAGCGGUGAAAUGCGUAGAUAUAUGGAGGAACACCGGUGGCGAAAGCGGCUCUCUGGCCUGUAACUGACACUGAGGCUCGAAAGCGUGGGGAGCAAACA